rnacentral:rRNA from 1 species
CAGUAGCCGCGGGAAUACGGAGGGGGCUAGCGUUGUUCGGAAUUACUGGGCGUAAAGCGCACGUAGGCGGCUUGGUAAGUUAGAGGUGAAAGCCCGGAGCUCAACUCCGGAAUUGCCUUUAAGACUGCCGAGCUAGUAGGUGAGAGAGGUAAGUGGAAUUCCGAGUGUAGAGGUGAAAUUCGUAGAUAUUCGGAAGAACACCAGUAGCGAAGGCGGCUUACUGGCUCAUUCUAGACGCUGAGGUGCGAAAGCGUGGGGAGCAAACAGGAUUAGAGACCCCCGUAGUCCCUGUCUCUUAUAC